UACGGGGGGAGCAAGGCGUUGUUCGGAUUUACUGGGCGUAAAGGGCGCGUAGGCGGCCAGUGCAAGUCAGUUGUGAAAUCUCCGAGCUUAACUCGGAAAGGUCAACUGAUACUGCUCGGCUAGAGUGCGGAAGGGGCAACUGGAAUUCUUGGUGUAGCGGUGAAAUGCGUAGAUAUCAAGAGGAACACCUGCGGCGAAGGCGGGUUGCUGGGCCGACACUGACGCUGAUGCGCGAAAGCUAGGGGAGCGAACGGG
rnacentral:rRNA from 1 species